rnacentral:rRNA from 2 species
GGCGAACUGGUGAGUAACACGUGGGAAACCUGCCCAGAAGCGGGGGAUAACACCUGGAAACAGAUGCUAAUACCGCAUAACAACUUGGACCGCAUGGUCCGAGUUUGAAAGAUGGCUUCGGCUAUCACUUUUGGAUGGUCCCGCGGCGUAUUAGCUAGAUGGUGGGGUAACGGCUCACCAUGGCAAUGAUACGUAGCCGACCUGAGAGGGUAAUCGGCCACAUUGGGACUGAGACACGGCCCAAACUCCUACGGGAGGCAGCAGUAGGGAAUCUUCCACAAUGGACGAAAGUCUGAUGGAGCAACGCCGCGUGAGUGAAGAAGGGUUUCGGCUCGUAAAACUCUGUUGUUAAAGAAGAACAUAUCUGAGAGUAACUGUUCAGGUAUUGACGGUAUUUAACCAGAAAGCCACGGCUAACUACGUGCCAGCAGCCGCGGUAAUACGUAGGUGGCAAGCGUUGUCCGGAUUUAUUGGGCGUAAAGCGAGCGCAGGCGGUUUUUUAAGUCUGAUGUGAAAGCCUUCGGCUCAACCGAAGAAGUGCAUCGGAAACUGGGAAACUUGAGUGCAGAAGAGGACAGUGGAACUCCAUGUGUAGCGGUGAAAUGCGUAGAUAUAUGGAAGAACACCAGUGGCGAAGGCGGCUGUCUGGUCUGUAACUGACGCUGAGGCUCGAAAGUAUGGGUAGCAAACAGGAUUAGAUACCCUGGUAGUCCAUACCGUAAACGAUGAAUGCUAAGUGUUGGAGGGUUUCCGCCCUUCAGUGCUGCAGCUAACGCAUUAAGCAUUCCGCCUGGGGAGUACGGCCGCAAGGCUGAAACUCAAAGGAAUUGACGGGGGCCCGCACAAGCGGUGGAGCAUGUGGUUUAAUUCGAAGCUACGCGAAGAACCUUACCAGGUCUUGACAUACUAUGCAAAUCUAAGAGAUUAGACGUUCCCUUCGGGGACAUGGAUACAGGUGGUGCAUGGUUGUCGUCAGCUCGUGUCGUGAGAUGUUGGGUUAAGUCCCGCAACGAGCGCAACCCUUAUUAUCAGUUGCCAGCAUUAAGUUGGGCACUCUGGUGAGACUGCCGGUGACAAACCGGAGGAAGGUGGGGAUGACGUCAAAUCAUCAUGCCCCUUAUGACCUGGGCUACACACGUGCUACAAUGGAUGGUACAACGAGUUGCGAACUCGCGAGAGUAAGCUAAUCUCUUAAAGCCAUUCUCAGUUCGGAUUGUAGGCUGCAACUCGCCUACAUGAAGUCGGAAUCGCUAGUAAUCGCGGAUCAGCAUGCCGCGGUGAAUACGUUCCCGGGCCUUGUACAC